AGGCUACUCACCAAACACUACUCCAAGGUUCACAUGGUGGAUCCUUCUAUCGACUUUCUACAGUCUCAGCUCCCCAAGCAACCUAACGGAAAGGUCAUCACUAGACCGUUGGCAUCAACGACUUGGUCACCUACGUGAAUCAAUUACUCGGAAAAUUCUUGAUUUCUCAAACAUUGUUGCUAGUUGCUACUUCAUCUUCGUUUCAUAAAUGUACGUGUUGCUUGCUUAGUUGGUAAAAAUUCUAAACUUCAUCUACCAUCUACAAAUUCUAAAUGUUCGGCUCCUUUAGACUUAAUACAUAUUAUCUAUUUCGGGUCAUCGAUAUUUUAUUGUUUUCAUUGAUGAUUUUUUUAGAUAUAUUUGUGUCCUUUUAAAACCAAAUCUUGUGUGCUUCAAAUUUUUAUAACAUUUUAGAAAUUUGUUGAAAAUCAAUUUUUUAGGAAAAUCAAGAUGCUUCAAUCCGAUUUCGGAGAAGAGUAUCAAUCCUUACUUCCUAUUCUUCGGGAUUUCGGGAUACAACAUCGUCGUUCAUGUCUUCACACAUCGGAACAGAGUGGUACAUCAGAAAGAAAAAUUCGCGAU
rnacentral:lncRNA from 1 species